ACGGCUUGCGCACGCAACCAGGGGGCAGAAAGAAGACGUGUUGUCUAGCUAGCUAGUAGUAGCGGCAUAGCGUGCUGGGCCGCUGAGGGCCACAGUGACUUCCUUCAGACUGGGGUCAAAGGGCAUCUGCCAAGUGUUGCUGGCACCAGUGACGUGAUCAGUGGACAGCAGGUGGACCUUGGAUGACUGCACCGCCUCCUCCACCCAUUUCAGAACCUAAAGCGAUGGGAAGAAAAUGUGAAGAAUAUGGAAGACCUGCCCAGAGCUGGUGGAGGCAAUCUCCUCGUAAACCUUGUAGCCGAUCUGCAGGACUUCAUGAGUCAGCUUGUAAUCUUUGGAACGGGCAUCUGUGAAGACGUAAAUAAAGGAUCCCGGCAAGGAGAUCUCCAAGGCAAUCUUAAUGGCGCCAAUGCUCAUCUCUGGACAGUCCCCACCUCCCUGAGAAAGAGCAGGAUAUCAUCAGCAAAUGCUAGGAUGCAUCACCCCCAAGAGUAACAUCUGGAAUGGAGUGACCCAUGAUUUUAGGCCAAGGAAGGGGGUAGGUGAAGAGACAGGAAUCAUCUGUGUCUCCUGAACACCAACAUCUCCCUUCUGGACAAAAAUGCACUCCCCCAUACCCCCAUUGCCCCCAACAUUAAGCCUGAUAAACCCUCUGUGCACUUUUGUUCUUGCAGCUUAAAAAAGAUGAAGUGUUGCCUAACAUCUUCACCCUUAAACACAAUUCAUGGCAGGAGAAUUUCAAUUUCAAGAAAAAUGUCAAUUCCAAAGUGUAUCUUUUCCGUGCGUUCUGGCCAAAACCUCUUCAGGGGUGUGCAGGUGAAGAGGUGAUGGGGAGGAAAAACAGACUCAGGAAUGAAGCGGCAAGUGAGAGGAAACUGGAUCUCUUCCAUUCUACACACAACACGCUCGCACACCAGAUCAACUGUAGCACAUGCCAAGGAUGCACAGACACUUGCCAAAAUAUUUUUCUUCAAAGGACAAACCUCUGAAUGGUGCUUACAGUAUCUCUGCCCGUGUCUGUCUCUGUCUAUCAUACUGUAGCUAGACAUAAGGAGUACCAGCUUUGCAGUUUUUCUGCUUUGCUACAGAACAGGCCUUGUGUACAACUUCUUGUCUCUCUGUUUAGCUGUCUAGCCAUUGUAUGUUUUUGUUUAUACAUUUGUUUGUAAUGGUGCAGGAAGUCAAAUAAAUAUGGGAUGAAGAUUUUUUUCAUCAGUAAGGUCACCAUAUGACCAAAGCCAUGGGUGUUAGAACCACUAGCUAUAUUAUAUGAAGGAUGAAACCCCACUAAAACGGGGAAC